CCAGCUUCGAGCUGUUUGCGUUUGUGUUCAACGCGGCAAUGUUUAGGUUGAUAUAUCGCUGCUAUUCGACUAUCCCCGGGACAGAAGCGUCAGCGGCGUACUUCGACAUUGAACGCGACGCGGUAGUCUUGCCGACGACGUCCCUGUACAUCAAGCGGCUCGGAAAGAACAAAACCGCUUCAAUGUCGACGAUUGAUACCACUCAACGAGCCCAACGAAACAAAUAGACCGGAAGGCAUUAUUGAGCGCAUGACGAAGCAGUAACGUAAAACCGAACUUGCGUAUACCAGCUAGCUUCGCAAUCUGGCGUACCGGUGUAAGGAGGGAUCGUUUGUAGCUGCUUAGCCUAACGGUUUUCCCUUAACUGAUUUGUCACCACCCGAUCCUCCUAUGAUUAACCAAGUGAGGCAAGGACUUAAGUGACUGUUGCCGUCGG